AGUUAAUGAACUUGAAUAAGUAUAUAUUUUGAAAAUAUAAAAUAAAGUCUAAAUCUUUAUUAACUU
rnacentral:tRNA from 1 species